CUGCCACUAGGGAGGGAUCUUUUUCUCGUGAUUCCUUCCUUUGAAGUUUUCUACUGUAAGCUUAGGACACAAUUCCUACUUCAGAUCUAUGUGCUGAGGCUGAGUGAGGUUAUUAGAUAAAUGCCUGUGGCCUGAGAAGCCUGAGGGGUGGCUGUAAUGAGAAGAUUUCUACCAGCUGGUCCAAAAUCUUCAAGUUGCCUACCUGACUGCUGAAAGAAAGCCAAGAUGGUAUCCUUUGAGGAAAUCUCUUUGAUUCCACCUGUCAUUUCUGUUGUGACUGCCAUAUUCAGAAGCGUUAUAUGAGAGUAGCUCCAACACACUUCUGGUGCUAAGAAUGAGAGUCUCACUACCUCUUAAUUCCAGUGCAGAUCAUCAUUACUUGAAACUGAAGUGAAUUUGGCAUCUGGGAGAGUAACUGACUUCAUCUCGCUCAGUGCAUCUUAUGUUAGUGGUGUUCUCUGGGUUUGCUGAGCAGAAUUUCACUAUUGGCUGAGCUCCUUAGGCUAAUAUUUUCAAAGACAGCUAUAGGGAAUUAAUGUCCAACUCAGUAGGAUAUUGGUGGGUUAUUCCCUUGGUUUCCUUGGGGGAAAAAAAAUGUGCCUGGAUUUGCUGACUUUGACCAUUUAAAUAGAUGGUGGAAUUUGGUUCCGCCAUGCAUGAAAUCUUUAUUGGGUCUUGUUCAGAGCCUAGAGCUAAAACAUUCACAGAGCAGUGAUCUCAUAUUAAUGAUGGUAGUGUAACUGUGAUGUGAUUUAAUAAAGAG
ensembl:lncRNA